rnacentral:rRNA from 1 species
AACGAACGCUGGCGGCAUGCCUAACACAUGCAAGUCGAACGAGACCUUCGGGUCUAGUGGCGCACGGGUGCGUAACGCGUGGGAACCUGCCCUUAGGUUCGGAAUAACUCCCCGAAAGGGGUGCUAAUACCGGAUAAUGUCUUCGGACCAAAGAUUUAUCGCCUUUGGAUGGGCCCGCGUUGGCUUAGCUAGUUGGUAGGGUAAAAGCCUACCAAGGCGACGAUCCAUAGCUGGUCUGAGAGGAUGAUCAGCCACACUGGGACUGAGACACGGCCCAGACUCCUACGGGAGGCAGCAGUGGGGAAUAUUGGACAAUGGGCGAAAGCCUGAUCCAGCAAUGCCGCGUGAGUGAUGAAGGUCUUAGGGUUGUAAAGCUCUUUUACACGGGAUGAUAAUGACAGUACCGGGAGAAUAAGCUCCGGCUAACUCCGUG